rnacentral:rRNA from 1 species
GACGAACGCUGGCGGCGUGCUUAACACAUGCAAGUCGAACGGAAAGGCCCUGCUUUUGUGGGGUGCUCGAGUGGCGAACGGGUGAGUAACACGUGAGUAACCUGCCCUUGACUUUGGGAUAACUUCAGGAAACUGGGGCUAAUACCGGAUAGGAGCUCCUGCUGCAUGGUGGGGGUUGGAAAGUUUCGGCGGUUGGGGAUGGACUCGCGGCUUAUCAGCUUGUUGGUGGGGUAGUGGCUUACCAAGGCUUUGACGGGUAGCCGGCCUGAGAGGGUGACCGGGCACAUGGGGACUGAGGUACGGCCCAGACUCCUACGGGAGGCAGCAGUGGGGAAUAUUGCACAAGGGGCGGAAGCCUGAUGCAGCAACGCCGCGUGCGGGAUGACGGCCUUCGGGUUGUAAACCGCUUUCGCCUGUGACGAAGCGUGAGUGACGGUAAUGGGGAAAGAAGCACCGGCUAACUACGU